GUACUCACUUCAGUAGCACGUAGACUAAAAUUGGAACGAUACAGAAAAGAUUAGCAUGGCCCCUGAGCAAGGAUGACACACAAAUUCAUAAAACUUUCCAUAUUUUU